rnacentral:rRNA from 1 species
UAAUACGUAGGGCGCAAGCGUUGUCCGGAAUUAUUGGGCGUAAAGAGCUCGUAGGCGGCUUGUCACGUCGGGUGUGAAAGCCCGGGGCUUAACCCCGGGUCUGCAUUCGAUACGGGCUAGCUAGAGUGUGGUAGGGGAGAUCGGAAUUCCUGGUGUAGCGGUGAAAUGCGCAGAUAUCAGGAGGAACACCGGUGGCGAAGGCGGAUCUCUGGGCCAUUACUGACGCUGAGGAGCGAAAGCGUGGGGAGCGAACAGGAUUAGAUACCCUGGUAGUCCACGCCGUAAACGGUGGGAACUAGGUGUUGGCGACAUUCCACGUCGUCGGUGCCGCAGCUAACGCAUUAAGUUCCCCGCCUGGGGAGUACGGCCGCAAGGCUA